UCGACAAGCUGCGAGACGUGAUAAAUUCCUUCUCCGAUUCAUUCAAGACUCGACACUCGACAGAAAUUUUAAGCGAAGAUCGAUCGGAGGUAAUCUCCUACCCCACUUCUAUUCAGAAUAAGAGCCAACGACCCAUACCACCUUUUCCAAGCUGUAAGUUUUGAGGUGAUGUGCGGAGAGCCCUUAAUAUCAGUCUUUGGAAACCGACUUCGCAUUGCAUCUUCAAGCUUCGUAAGAUAUCCACCUCGAAACCCAUUGUCGGACUUCCAACCACGGGCAACGAUGUCCUUCAGUGCUAUAACAAGUGUCUCCUCCUCUCGAUCAGUCCAGCUUCUCCUCGUGCGGUCUCCUUUUCGGUCUCCUUUCCUCUUGCGGUUUAGUCCCAAGUGAUCAUUGAUCACUACAAAACAAUAUCGUAUGAGUCGUAUGACUUUGUUUCAUAUUUUCAUUCAAUCAAAUAAAUACAAUUCAGUGCUUGUGGUUCGAUUACCACUCAAAAAUCAAUCCA